rnacentral:ncRNA from 1 species
AUUUGACUUAAGGGGCAACUCUUAACUGGCCAGGUAAGGAAAAACCGAGAGGUUCAAGCUUACAGGGCAGAAAACUCUGCAAAGUAGCGCUUAACAUAGCAGGGUGGCGGGUUCGGCGGUAGCGCAUUACAACGACGAACCAA